GAGUGACAUGAAGGGCUGGAGCCAGGAUCCACCCCUUCCCAGGCCUCAUUGAAUGGUUGGCAGUGGAGAUGAGGGUUUCCUGCUGGAGAUCCCUGCCUACCUGAGGCCUUCCAAGGAGGGGCUGCCGUAAGAGGAUGCCUUUCACCUGGCUGAUGCUUGCCACUUCUCUUCCUCGUAUACAAAAUUUUCUAGGAUGGGUCUCUACUACUGUGGGCUGAAGCAUGCCAGAAAACAGCUAGGGAAUUUCAUUGGACUUUGUAAAAGAGAGGCCUACUUUGUCAUGAACUUGCAGUCCUGGGAUACUGGAGCUUUCUUAUGGAACAUAAAACCAUUGUUUUGUUUUGUUUUGUUUUUUUUCUUUAACCACAUGGUUGGUUCAUUAGGAAGAUCUCAGGUGCUGUCUAUCUCCAUUGAUUUUUAUUGGGUCCAUUAGCAUAGAUCUGUUGAAGAUCUGUCCCAUAGAGCACAAAUAUCCUGUCUAAUGCACAAUUCAGGAUAAGAAAACUGAGGUAAGAUGAGCAAAUUAAAGGGGAAGAUAGUUCCAUCCUAUUAGAAAGAAACAGAGACAUGUGACAUUGAAGCAGGAGUGUCCUUAGAGAGUGUAUGCAAGUUACAGAUGUAGAAAGGGACAAGGUAAGGAGACAAUUUCUGUGGUCUUUACCUCUGUUAGCAGCAUACAGUAUGGCAGACUACAAAAAGUAUUUCAAGUUUCCCAGUUGUGUAAUCCUCAUGGGAUAUGAGCUUGUAGCUUUAGCAAAGCUCUUGUUGUACCAGAUGUUGAAAGCUGAACAGAUGAAAAGACAGUCUGUAAACAAUAGCUAGCCUAGACAAAAGAAUUUUUAUUUGACUUGAAGACUUUGCAAGUAAAGGUCACAUGGGGGCUAGUUCUGCUAAUCCUAGACCAAAAAUUUAAAAGAGAGAUGAAUUAAUCACUGAAAUCAUUUCUCAUAUCAGGAUAGUCUUUGUGAAAAGCUAAAGUAACUAGAAGUUAGAACCUUACUAAUAAAUGUAGUCUUACAGCAGCAAUUAGCUGUAAUUUUUUCUCUUAGAUUAUAGAAUGUAUAUUUCAGAUCCUCUCUGAUCUAGUUGGAAUAAUCCUAAAUUUGGGCCCACUUCUAUAGAUGUCUAAUUAGAAAUGUACAUGUCUCUUUUCUCAUAAAUCUGUAUCCAGCACAGUGAAUGUUAACACUUCAGACAGCCAUCUGUGUAUUUAAAAGCUAAGCAAAAAGGUUUCGCUUAAUGUAUUUAUCCUUUGGGUCUAGAAUCUUCAUUUUGUGUGUAUGUGGUCUCAUGAACAAAGGGUUUGAAUCAUUCAGGUGCCACUGUACUAGAAAUAAUUAAUAUUUAGAGGGUGAGCAUGGUUUGUCCUCUCAUAAAUUGAUUUAAUCUUCAUAUCCUGAUUGCCUAGAGUGGCUCACUUCAGCAACCUUGCAGAAUCUGCUGUGGGUUUGAUUUAUUCUGCAGCAUCCUUAUACACUUUUAAUCCUUACAGCUUUCAUUUUGUACAUAUGGAAUGAAUUACAGAUUUAAUACCCUAUUGAUAUCAGGGAAAGAUAAUUAAUUUUCUGAUGUUUAAAAUAAAGGAAAUCAUAUUUUCAAGUAUUUUCGGUCUCACUAAUUCUCACUGAAGUAUAAUUUCCACUGCAAAUAUAAAUCUUGUAUGCUUAAAAUUUGACUGAUAUUUAUCAUCUGCUGCUUUCUAGAUACAUAUAUUGUAGGUGUAGUGAACAUGUUUGUAAGUAGAGUAAGAGAAUAGUUCUGUACUGGUUUACAUGGGCUUACUAACAUGAAGCCCUAAAACCUGAAAAAUUGAAUGAUAUGAUCCUGUAAACUUUUAAAACUAAUUUUAAGAACAUAUAAUACCAAUCCUAAUGUAGUAAUGGUCUAAUAGCAUAGCUGCCAGUGUUGUUAUUGUCUACAUUAUAUCUUUAGUAGAUGUAUUUCUUAAGACCAUAUAUGUAUUAGAACUAUUUUCAAAUAGCUAUACACAAAGCUUUUAUAUUUUUAUGGAGAAGUGCAUAUGUUUUUAAAUAAAGACAGAAAACACUGCUUAUGCAGUGA